ACCUAUGUGCAGAGUGCAGAGUUGCAGAUUAACACACUCAUCAGACUACAGGGCCCGCCUCUCCCCCGUCCAUGCUGACCACAGCCAGGACUACGGAGAGCAGCACACAACUGCACUGUGGUUUUUUCUUCAAGCGAGAGAAAGAAUAAAAGCCUUCACACAUCUGUCCUGCACACAGUAUUAACUGACCUAACGCUGCUGUUCACCAUGACAUCAUCUCAGUACAAACACUGAGAAGUGGAACAUACCGUCGCCCACGAGCUGCCCCCUUACACAAACCGCCCCCCACCCCAUCCGCUCAUUAAACAUAAAAGUGAAGUUCGCCACUCACCGAGUGCAGUGUACAAGUUCACCACUCAACAUCUUUUCACAUCACCCGUCAUCUCACCUGAAGCUGAAGUCAUGAGCACUCUUGCUCGAGCACUCGUUCUGGGUCUGCUGCUGGUCGCGUGUCUUCAGUUGAGCGUAAUGGGCCAAAAUGCAAACGAACCGAAGGAAUGCUGUUUUAAGUUUUUUGAGAAACCAAUCCGUGCAAGAUCUAUUACAACAUAUGGAAUGACGAGACCGGAGU